AAUACCUCCGGAAUUAAAGGUGAGAAAUCUUAAAAGGGAAGAUGGUGAGAAUCCAUCACGGCCCCGCCACCGUAACCGGGUACGAAACCAACAAAAGGCCACUGGGAAUUGUCCUGGGAAGGCGUUGGGAGUAGGAUGAUCCGGAAGUCGGGAGACCUGCCUUUAAUUCCAGAGCGAU
rnacentral:ncRNA from 2 species